GGAGAGACAGCUUUUUUUUCCCAUUCUCCUCUCUUUGUCUCUUUUCUGAGAAAAUACUGCUUUGAGCGAAUCUUUUUGAAAGCACAGAGAUAAAUUUAUUUAAAGCUGGCAUUUUCACUGCUGCUACUGAGUCUGCUGCUGACUCUGCAAGUGACCUUGAGCAUGCAGAGAAUAGGACAUUUGGUGGUCAGGAAAUCAGGUAAGGACCAAGUUGAUGGUUAAAACAUGAGAUUCAAAAGCUGAGAAUCAAGGGGAAAGCUCCCAUCCGAGAUGGUGUGAAAGGAUUAAAUGAAUUCAAACAAUUCCAGUGAUGCCAUGAUGGGACAGAGUAAUGAGAGAAGGAACCUGGCCAUAAGGAAGUUGUGGAAAUGAUUGACACUGUGCUCAGAUCUAUCACAUCCCACAGAACUCUGGAAUGAGCUAGUCUCUGGUUUCCAACCUGGCAACCGCAGGGCACAGAGGCAACCCCUUCCCGCACUAUAACAAUAGAUUUGGAAUACCAAAUGGACUUUUCCUACAUACUAAACAAGUACCUCUCACAUCCACA
ensembl:lncRNA